CAUAGAAAGCACCUUCCAAACUACUAGGAAAUGCCCCAACAUGGAGAGCUGAGGGAAUCCCCCUGUGCCCGUUGAUGCUAGAGUGUAUGAUGGUGGUCUAUUUGCAUGGUAUACUAGUCUACUUGGGCUGCCGUAACAGAAUACCACAGAUUGGGUGGCUUAAAAACAGAAAUUUAUUUUCUCAUGGUUCUGGAGUUCAAGGUGCUAGCAUGGAUGGCUUCUAGUGAGGACACUCUUCCAGGUUUGCAGACAGCCACCUUCUUGCUGUGUCCUCACAUGGCCUUUUCUCCAUGCUUGUGCAUCUCUGAUGCCUCUUCCUCUUCUUUGCAAGGACACCAGCACUACUGGAUUGGAGCUCCAUUCUUAUGGUUUCAUUUAACCUCAAUCACCUCCUUAGAGACCCUAUCUCCAAAUGCAGCCACGCCAGGGUCAGGGCUUCGGUAUAUGAAUGUAGGAGGGUACCAUUCGGUCUAUAACAGGAGGCUUUGAAAAACUACAGGUUCUAAUUAAAUUUCAAAAGUCAUUCAGGUACCAUCUUAAAAGAACAAGUUCUUUUCUCACACUUAAGAGGUCCCACUUCUGGAGGAAAGGACCCUGGUGUUGAGAACAGCACAGAAAGCAGCAAGUCCUGGAGGUGUGCAGGCUGAGGGGAUGCUUGAGCGGGAGCUGAAAGGUGAGCACCCAGGGAUGCCUUCCAACUUCCAGCCCUGUGUUCCACCCUGACAACCCUUUCUAGUCUCACUCCCCCUUUCCCCCCAGGAGUCAGACUAGAAGAGGACAGUGUUGGAGGUGUUGUUAUACCUGUACACGUUCAAUUAAUACGUUUGGAAAUAUUUCCUUAACCUCACUCUUCCCUUUCUUCCUUCUCCCACCAAAAUGCCACUAGAAUUUUUGCUUAUAUGAGUUUCAUCUACAAAGGACACCCAGAAUUUCCACCACAUGUCAAACGUGAUUUUUGGCUGACCUUACUGACAACUUCAUAUUUCUGGAAAUUAAGAGGGAGGAAGGUUGAAUCAAGGGGUGUCUUAGGCAAUAUGUUUUGGGUGAAGAACCAAUAAAAUCAGAACAAAAUAGUUGCCAAAUUUGGAUAUUGUGAUUUACGGGAGUCUUCUCCUCUGCUCCCCUUCCCUCCUUUUCCCUCCCCUCUCUUACUCUUCCCUCCCCUCCUCUUCCCUUCCCUCCUCUUCUUACCUGCUGCCCCCAUGGCCAAGUAUACAGCUCUUCUGAGACACUUUUGAUGUGCUUCGUAAAUGCUUCUUUCUUAUCUAUGGCUCCCACAACUAUGUGAGCUUCUUCAGGACAGGAAUUUGGUCUUAGAUAUUUUUCUAUCACCUUGAAUAUCUCAACCUCCUGCAAUAGCUUAGGCCAUGUCGUCAGCAUACCACAAAAAUUUUACUGAUUUAGAAUUAAACAAAUUAUUAAAGAGGUAAAGCUAGUUCUCCUUUAAUGAUGCUGAUCAAAAACUGGCAAACUGAAUGCAAGGGAAACUCUUUUCUAAACUUAAACCAUCACUGAAUAGGCCCUAAUGGAAUACAAUAGUCAUUAAGCACCUACCUACUAUAGGCAAGGCAUUGCUAAAUACUACAGAUGAUACAAACACAAAUGAGAAAAAUUUCUGUUCUCAAAGAGUUUGAAGCAUAAGAGAAGAAAUCAGAGAGGUACCUGGAUAUUUGUGCUCCAUGUUAGGCAUUGGCAUCGAAAUUGGUAUUUAAACGGAACGUUCCCAAAGCUUCGGCACAUGUGUGGCAGCCCCCACAUGGUGCCUACCGAGAAACAGGGCACACAUGAGGAAGUCAGGCCAUUCCUUCCUUCGCAUUCUUUCCUCAAGUGAGAGAGACUGGUGCCUCCGAGUUGAAGAUUCUAUCUGAAAACGAAGAGAAUUAGGCUUUGAUGUCUGUAGCAUGUGAACACCGGAUGGCCGUUAUUAGUUUACUAUCCAGUGUUCACCUUCCCACCCGCUUCUCCUUAAAGAGGCCAUGUGGAUUUUUAUCCCAUUAUCCUCCCCUGCUCCAUGGGCUAUGGGGAAGGCUGACACUACAUGAUGCCAGGGGUGACCAGGGCAGCAUCUUUCCUUCCCUGGCCACAGCAUCUGGUCGUUUUACAUAAACCAUCUGAUCAGGGUUCCUCUCAAAAUUGUUGCUUGGGAAAAUGCUCUCCGUCUGCGAAUUGUCCUGAAUUCUUCCCAGAAAACAAGGGACCCAGCUUUCAGACGAAGCGUGACUGCAGAAUGCAGGUCUUGAUGACAUCAUCUGGCCUCUGAAUCAAUCAACUCUGAUAUCUGCCCUACUCUGUACUUUCAGCUACAUGAGAUUUUUAAAAAAUCAUGUUUUUUGCUUAAGCAUUUUGAUUUGGGUUAUCUGUUAUUUGUAAAGAAUCCUAACUGAUAGGCACACCAUAAAAGGAAAGGUCCAGGAAAUUUAAAUCAUCUUGUAUAAUUUCUUUGGGAAUCCUAGUCUUUUGGUUAGGACAUAGGUGUUUGCUUAUAGGCCUCAACUUGAGAUGUCUGUGCCAGUGCAGAAUGGAAAGGACUUGACAUCUAAAGAAGAAAUUAAUGGUCUAGUGCUUAUCAUUGGCCUUGGGAAGUCACUUGUUCAUUUUGAGCCUCAGGUUCAUCACCUGCCAAACAGGAGAGAUGGUGUGUCUCUGGAGUUCUUGUGAGACACCAAUCAAUCCAAUCAUGAAUGUGGCGGGCUUGCUCAGAGUGCAAAGUGGAUAUCAACAACAUUUCAACCUGAGCCAAUAUACACCUCCGUGGAAUAAUGGAUGAUAAAACCAACUUACCCAUUUAGGUGGAAUCACUGGUCUACUUGGCAGAGGAUCAACAACUCUGCAAAACUUCCAACACAAGCUAGAGCUGUGGCCGGUGGUACAAGUUACUUCUCACUCCUUCAACACAAGGCCGAGGUGCUAGCCCAGCCAAAAAACAUCUUCAUAAAGGGACUGAACACUCCCCUGCCCUAACUAUUGCCCCUCUAAGUAUUUUUUAAUCUCAAAUAUUUUUUAAAAAAAUAGUUAAAGAUUACAACCACAUUAUGCAAUCCAGCAUCUAAGUAGGGUAAGAAGAAAUUAAAAUUCUCCUUUUUUGGAGGUUUGGUCCCAUUUGGUGAACAUCUUCAGGAACAGUAAGCAUAGAGUCCACAGAGAAGAAUUUGAGAGAUGUGAGAUGCAUCAACUGUGUGUUUUCUACAAACUUGGAUUUGACGUCUCAUCCUCAAUGUCUGGUCUUACUUCGUCACUGAUGCCAAAUGUUUAACUCAGAAAGAUAAGAUUCGAGAAGAUGAUAAGGGCUGCUCUGUUCUUGUAACACAGGAACAUUCAUUUUUGCCUCAAAGGAGCUUACAACAUAUUCAGAAAGGGGAGCGUGUACUCCCUGGUGUCCCUAGGAAGAUCACAUAAAACUAAAUCACAAAGACAUUAAAGUAAUAAAUCUUUCUUUGUGUGGAACCCAAACUAAUCACAGGAGUAAGAUCCCAAGGGGAGGCAGGGUGAGAUGGAGGGGAGGAGAGAAGGAAGAAAGAGGAGGUUUGAUGAAGGGUGUUAAUUUUUCUCCUUAAAAACAACAAAAAACCUAUAAACUGCUGUUCCCUCCAUCAGUCAUUCAUUACUGGCCAUGAGAGUCUAUUCUAAGGUAUGUCCCUUGGGUGAAACUGCCUCAAACUAAACAUUGCAUGGCUAAGAUAACGGACAUGCAGAAGUAAAAGAUAGAACUGAAAAGAGAUCUCACAAAUAUUGGCAGCAAUCUUUCCCAAAAGUGAAAAUAAAAUGAGAAAAAAGAAUUGUAAUGACUUCAUGUAUAGCUUAUAUAUAUUUGCUUUCAGGUAUUAUAAUAGAGAAAGAGAAAAAUCCUUCCUGUAAUAAAAACCUAACCACUUCUCUCUCCCAAAAGCAGACAGAAAAUAAAAUGAGAUUUUUAAAAAUUCAAUUACCUAGUGCCAAACAUUAACCUGAGAUGGAUACCACAUCAACAUUAAAAUGUAAAUUAACACUUUAAGAGAAAACUAUCAGUUCUAGAAUGAAUGGAAACCUCUUUCCUAGGACACUUAAAACAUCUUUCAGCAAAUCUAAACAGCUGUCACAAGAGCCAGGCUUCACACGGCAUCCCGAGACAGGGGACAUGGCCACUCCACAUCAAAUUAAAUUUAAUUCAUCUAUUAGAACCACCAAUAUUGAAUGUUUUAUUCCCCAUAUUCCUAGGAAAUAUAACUUCUGGAUAGCACUCCUCUAACUUUUUCCCCUACCCAGAAUGUAUUCACCUGCUGUUUUCAUUGUUGCAAAUACAUGUUAAUGUUAAAAAAAUAAAAUAAAACGUAAACACAAAGGCAAUUUAUUGUUUCUACCACGAAAUUCUAAAGCCAACAAUAACCUCCAUAAUUAUUCACUGCCAAGCUCUAACCCACAAUGUGACUCUAUUUGUAGAUGGGGCAUAUAAGGGGGUAAUUAUGGGUGGGACCCUAAUACAAGAGAGCUGACGCUUUAUGAGAAAGGAAGAGACACAAGAGCCCUCUCUCUCUCUCUCUCUGAGGAUGCAGUGAGAAGGCAGCCAUCUACAAGCCAGGAAGAGAGUCCUCACUAAGAACUAAAUUGGCCAGCAGCUUAGUCCUUAGACUUUCCAAUCUCCAGAAUUCUGAGAGGCAAAUUUCUGUUGUUCAAACCAAAAUAAAAUUUAUACGCUUUCUUUGUGUCAAGGAAAAGAGCUUGUCAGAAUUUUUUAAAGGAAAGAAAAGAGAAAAUAAACAACUGAAGUCUGAGAACUUGCUGGUAUUCAAGAUUAAAAGAUGUUAGGCCUUGUUUAAAAAUAGUGAGAUUACCAAGCUUAGUGAUUUCAAGUCAAAUCAUUUGACAUUGACACUUUGGGGAUAUUAAUAUUCACAACGUGCCAAGAAAUUUGAUAUAUGGUGUCCCUUAACUGCUCUUAAGGGAAUGGGGUUUUUUUAAGUAUAUCUAUCUAUCUAUCUAUAGAUAGAUAUAUAUACCAUAUACAUAUAUACUAUAUAGAUAGUAUAUGUAUACACGAUAUAUAUAGUGUAUAUAUACACUAUAUAUAUAUAUAUACUAUAUUAUCUAUAUAGUAUAUAUAUAGAGAGAGAUACAUAAUAUAUGUAUUCAUUCACAUGUAAGCUCACUGUGUAUUUAAGGCCGCGAUAAAUAAUGCUGAGUGCUUUGAUACAUGAACCACAUUCAUCUGAGGUUUCUAGGAAUUAAAUUUAAAUCAAAUAUUGCAUAGAAAGUGGCAGCAUUUCACUUCAAACUCUUCUCUUAUCAAGCUUUAUUUUUACAAAGUCCAGUGCAAAUAUUGACCAUGUUUUAUAAAUUUCAAAGGAUCUUGAUUAGAGAGAGCUUUCAGGUAAACAGCUUUAUUUAUCUCCCUUAGUUUCAUUGUAGGAUUCUGUUCAGGGGAGAUUCUGUUCAGGGGAUAUUCAUGUUGGUCAAUUAACUAUUUUUUCAUUAAGUUCCACUUAACAUACAAUUCGCAGUGCUCUAAAGAUAAGGUAACCCUACCCCUCAGUUAGCAUCUGGGGUUAGCAUUUUAGCACUCUCAACAGUGAACAAGUUUGGGAGAGGACUCACAUGCUUACUCUAGAAUUUCCAUUUGGUGAAACACAAUGAAAACAAUGGGGUGGGGGAGGUUGGGCAGAUGCGGAAGUUCGAGGAAUUCACAGAGCAAUAAUGAACCAAAGCCCAGUCUAUCCACGUAGGUGGAUGUUCACAUGAGCACGAACAGGGAGAGGGAGGCCAAGGAAAGGCCUGCCUGCGUGGCAGAGCAUGGCUGUGCAAGACUUAACAGACUGUGUCCCGCUCCCUGUGUCACACAGUGGGCUCAUCCCAUGUCCUGUGAGCUUGGUUAUGGUUAACAGGAGAGCACCCUGGCCCGGCUGAGUAUCAGCCCCUGCCACCAGGGUGCCAUGCUGCUUCUCAAUGGGAAGGUGCAAUGGGCAGAGCUGGAGAUCUUCUCAGUCCUUCAUAUUCUUGUGAUGGAAUCACAGAGUCACUGCUCUCCAGGAUGUUUGUGAUCCACUGGCUUAGUCCUACAUUAAAAAAAAAGGUGAGAAGGCUGAGGGUCAGUGAGGGGAAAUGACUUGCCUGGCAUCGCAGGGGUAUUCAUCCCAUUGGCAGGACCAGUGCAGGUGCCCAAAUCCCCAUCUUCCCAUUCUCAUGGAGUCAUCAUCAUUGCCAUCAUCAUUGCAGCUGGCCCUUAUGAAG
rnacentral:lncRNA from 1 species